CCUUAGAGUUUGAUCCUGGCUCAGGAUGAACGCUAGCUACAGGCUUAACACAUGCAAGUCGAGGGGCAGCAUGGUCUUAGCUUGCUAAGGCCGAUGGCGACCGGCGCACGGGUGAGUAACACGUAUCCAACCUGCCGUCUACUCUUGGACAGCCUUCUGAAAGGAAGAUUAAUACAAGAUGGCAUCAUGAGUCCGCAUGUUCACAUGAUUAAAGGUAUUCCAGUAGACGAUGGGGAUGCGUUCCAUUAGAUAGUAGGCGGGGUAACGGCCCACCUAGUCUUCGAUGGAUAGGGGUUCUGAGAGGAAGGUCCCCCACAUUGGAACUGAGACACGGUCCAAACUCCUACGGGAGGCAGCAGUGAGGAAUAUUGGUCAAUGGGCGAGAGCCUGAACCAGCCAAGUAGCGUGAAGGAUGACUGCCCUAUGGGUUGUAAACUUCUUUUAUAAAGGAAUAAAGUCGGGUAUGGAUACCCGUUUGCAUGUACUUUAUGAAUAAGGAUCGGCUAACUCCGUGCCAGCAGCCGCGGUAAUACGGAGGAUCCGGGCGUUAUCCGGAUUUAUUGGGUUUAAAGGGAGCGUAGAUGGAUGUUUAAGUCAGUUGUGAAAGUUUGCGGCUCAACCGUAAAAUUGCAGUUGAUACUGGAUAUCUUGAGUGCAGUUGAGGCAGGCGGAAUUCGUGGUGUAGCGGUGAAAUGCUUAGAUAUCACGAAGAACUCCGAUUGCGAAGGCAGCCUGCUAAGCUGCAACUGACAUUGAGGCUCGAAAGUGUGGGUAUCAAACAGGAUUAGAUACCCUGGUAGUCCACACGGUAAACGAUGAAUACUCGCUGUUUGCGAUAUACUGCAAGCGGCCAAGCGAAAGCGUUAAGUAUUCCACCUGGGGAGUACGCCGGCAACGGUGAAACUCAAAGGAAUUGACGGGGGCCCGCACAAGCGGAGGAACAUGUGGUUUAAUUCGACGCAACGCGAAGAACCUUACCAAGUCUUGACAUCCCUUGACGAUGCCGGAAACAGUAUUUCUCUUCGGAGCAAGGAGACAGGCGGUGCAUGGUUGUCGUCAGCUCGUGUCGUGAGAUGUUGGGUUAAGUCCCGCAACGAGCGCAACCCUUAUGGUCAGUUACUACGCAAGAGGACUCUGGCCAGACUGCCGUUGACAAAACGGAGGAAGGUGGGGAUGACGUCAAAUCAUCAUGCCCUUUAUGACUUGGGCUACACACGUACUACAAUGGCGUUAAACAAAGAGAAGCAAGACCGCGAGGUGGAGCAAAACUCAGAAACAACGUCCCAGUUCGGACUGCAGGCUGCAACUCGCCUGCACGAAGUCGGAAUUGCUAGUAAUCGUGGAUCAGCAUGCCACGGUGAAUACGUUCCCGGGCCUUGCACUCACCGCCCGUCAAG
rnacentral:rRNA from 1 species